rnacentral:rRNA from 1 species
UACAGAGGUGGCAAGCGUUGUUCGGAAUUACUGGGCGUAAAGGGCGCGUAGGCGGUCUUCUAAGUCUUGUGUGAAAUCCCUCGGCUCAACUGAGGAACUGCACGGGAUACUGGAAGACUUGAGUUCGGGAGAGGGAAGCGGAAUUCCGGGUGUAGCGGUGAAAUGCGUGGAUAUCUGGAGGAACACCGGUGGCGAAGGCGGCAUCCUGGACCAAUAUUGACGCUGAGGAGCGAAAGCCAGGGGAGCAAACGGG